AGAGUUUGAUCAUGGCUCAGGACGAACGCUGGCGGCGUGCUUAACACAUGCAAGUCGAACGGAAAGGCCCUUCGGGGUACUCGAGUGGCGAACGGGUGAGUAACACGUGGGUGAUCUGCCCUGCACUUUGGGAUAAGCCUGGGAAACUGGGUCUAAUACCGAAUACACCUCACUGGCUGCAUGGUUGGUGGGGGAAAGCUUUUGCGGUGUGGGAUGGGCCCGCGGCCUAUCAGCUUGUUGGUGAGGUUACGGCUCACCAAGGCGACGACGGGUAGCCGGCCUGAGAGGGUGACCGGCCACACUGGGACUGAGAUACGGCCCAGACUCCUACGGGAGGCAGCAGUGGGGAAUAUUGCACAAUGGGCGCAAGCCUGAUGCAGCGACGCCGCGUGGGGGAUGACGGCCUUCAGGUUGUAAACUCCUUUCAGCACAGACGAAGCGCAAGUGACGGUAUGUGCAGAAGAAGGACCGGCCAACUACGUGCCAGCAGCCGCGGUAAUACGUAGGGUCCGAGCGUUGUCCGGAAUUACUGGGCGUAAAGAGCUCGUAGGUGGUUUGUCGCGUUGUUCGUGAAAACUCACAGCUUAACUGUGGGCGUGCGGGCGAUACGGGCAGACUUGAGUACUGCAGGGGAGACUGGAAUUCCUGGUGUAGCGGUGGAAUGCGCAGAUAUCAGGAGGAACACCGGUGGCGAAGGCGGGUCUCUGGGCAGUAACUGACGCUGAGGAGCGAAAGCGUGGGGAGCGAACAGGAUUAGAUACCCUGGUAGUCC
rnacentral:rRNA from 1 species